AAAUUGAAGAGUUUGAUCAUGGCUCAGAUUGAACGCUGGCGGCAGGCCUAACACAUGCAAGUCGAGCGGUAGCACAGAGAGCUUGCUCUCGGGUGACGAGCGGCGGACGGGUGAGUAAUGUCUGGGAAACUGCCUGAUGGAGGGGGAUAACUACUGGAAACGGUAGCUAAUACCGCAUAACGUCGCAAGACCAAAGUGGGGGACCUUCGGGCCUCAUGCCAUCAGAUGUGCCCAGAUGGGAUUAGCUAGUAGGUGGGGUAACGGCUCACCUAGGCGACGAUCCCUAGCUGGUCUGAGAGGAUGACCAGCCACACUGGAACUGAGACACGGUCCAGACUCCUACGGGAGGCAGCAGUGGGGAAUAUUGCACAAUGGGCGCAAGCCUGAUGCAGCCAUGCCGCGUGUGUGAAGAAGGCCUUCGGGUUGUAAAGCACUUUCAGCGGGGAGGAAGGCGGUGAGGUUAAUAACCUCACCGAUUGACGUUACCCGCAGAAGAAGCACCGGCUAACUCCGUGCCAGCAGCCGCGGUAAUACGGAGGGUGCAAGCGUUAAUCGGAAUUACUGGGCGUAAAGCGCACGCAGGCGGUCUGUCAAGUCGGAUGUGAAAUCCCCGGGCUCAACCUGGGAACUGCAUUCGAAACUGGCAGGCUAGAGUCUUGUAGAGGGGGGUAGAAUUCCAGGUGUAGCGGUGAAAUGCGUAGAGAUCUGGAGGAAUACCGGUGGCGAAGGCGGCCCCCUGGACAAAGACUGACGCUCAGGUGCGAAAGCGUGGGGAGCAAACAGGAUUAGAUACCCUGGUAGUCCACGCCGUAAACGAUGUCGAUUUGGAGGUUGUGCCCUUGAGGCGUGGCUUCCGGAGCUAACGCGUUAAAUCGACCGCCUGGGGAGUACGGCCGCAAGGUUAAAACUCAAAUGAAUUGACGGGGGCCCGCACAAGCGGUGGAGCAUGUGGUUUAAUUCGAUGCAACGCGAAGAACCUUACCUGGUCUUGACAUCCACAGAACUUAGCAGAGAUGCUUUGGUGCCUUCGGGAACUGUGAGACAGGUGCUGCAUGGCUGUCGUCAGCUCGUGUUGUGAAAUG
rnacentral:rRNA from 1 species